CUACGGGAUGCAGCAGUGGGGAAUAUUGCACAAUGGGGGAAACCCUGAUGCAGCAACGCCGCGUGGAGGAUGACACAUUUCGGUGCGUAAACUCCUUUUAUAGGUCAAGAUAAUGACGGUAGCCUAUGAAUAAGCGCCGGCUAACUCCGUGCCAGCAGCCGCGGUAAUACGGAGGGCGCAAGCGUUACUCGGAAUCACUGGGCGUAAAGAGCAUGUAGGCGGAUUGUUAAGUUGGAAGUGAAAUCCUAUGGCUUAACCAUAGAACUGCUUCCAAAACUGAUAAUCUAGAGUAUGGGAGAGGUAGAUGGAAUUUCUGGUGUAGGGGUAAAAUCCGUAGAGAUCAGAAGGAAUACCGAUUGCGAAGGCGAUCUACUGGAACAUUACUGACGCUCAGAUGCGAAAGCGUGGGGAGCAAACAGGAUUAGAUACCCGGGUAGUC
rnacentral:rRNA from 1 species